rnacentral:miRNA from 1 species
AUUUGUGCUUGGCUCUGUCAC